rnacentral:tRNA from 2 species
GACUUCGUAGCUCAGCUGGAUAGAGCAGCCCCCUCCUAAGGGGCAGGUCGUGGGUUCGACUCCCUCCGAGGUCGCCA